rnacentral:rRNA from 1 species
UACAAUGCGAGAAAUCGUGAUAAGGGAACCCCGAGUGCCCGUAAAUUCGGGCUGUCCGCCAGUGUAAAUAACUGGUGAAGAAAGGGCCGGGCAAGACCGGUGCCAGCCGCCGCGGUAAUACCGGCGGCUCGAGUGGUGGCCACUAUUACUGGGCUUAAAGCGUCCGUAGCUGGAUUGUUAAGUCUCUUGGGAAAUCCACCGGCUCAACCGAUGGGCGUUCAGGAGAAACUGGCAAUCUAGGGACCGGGAGAGGUGAGAGGUACUCCAGGGGUAGGAGUGAAAUCCUGUAAUCCUUGGGGGACCACCUGUGGCGAAGGCGUCUCACUAGAACGGCUCCGACAGUGAGGGACGAAAGCUGGGGGAGCAAACCGGAUUAGAUACCCGGGUAGUCCCAGCUGUAAACGAUGCGCGUUAGGUGUAUCGGUGACCACGAGUCAUCGAGGUGCCGAAGGGAAACCGUGAAACGU